rnacentral:rRNA from 1 species
UAGGGAAUCUUCCGCAAUGGGCGAAAGCCUGACGGAGCAACGCCGCGUGAGUGAUGAAGGUCUUCGGAUCGUAAAACUCUGUUAUUAGGGAAGAACAAAUGUGUAAGUAACUAUGCACGUCUUGACGGUACCUAAUCAGAAAGCCACGGCUAACUACGUGCCAGCAGCCGCGGUAAUACGUAGGUGGCAAGCGUUAUCCGGAAUUAUUGGGCGUAAAGCGCGCGUAGGCGGUUUUUUAAGUCUGAUGUGAAAGCCCACGGCUCAACCGUGGAGGGUCAUUGGAAACUGGAAAACUUGAGUGCAGAAGAGGAAAGUAGAAUUCCAUGUGUAGCGGUGAAAUGCGCAGAGAUAUGGAGGAACACCAGUGGCGAAGGCGACUUUCUGGUCUGUAACUGACGCUGAUGUGCGAAAGCGUGGGGAUCAAACAGG